GCAGGGUGGAAACGAAUAGAGUUGACGUAUUCGGAUUCGCAUUCCAUUGGCGUUUGUGGUCGGUUGCGAUCGGCGUGUUUGAUUUGUGUUAUCCUCUUCGGGGGAGAGCCAACGUCGGCGCGUCGGUUGUGAAUGGGCUGUGAGCGCCGGUGUACUUGUGGAUCGUUGUGCGCUGGGGCGCGUGCGUUGGUUGUCGGUGGCUUUGGCACGAGGACGCUCACUUCGGUGAGUGGAACCGGGCCUUGGUCUUCGGCGGUUCGACGUGCGCGAAGGCGUCGGCACGGUGCGCGUAGCGUUCCGUCGGCGUUGUGCUGUAUGGCGGUCGCAUGCGACACGUGUACGGUGUGAUGUCGCGGAGUGUUGCGUGCCCGGGUCGUUGUCCCCGGUGUAAAAGUCGAUCAUCUAUUCGACCCGUCUUGAAACACKGACCAAGGAGUUUAACGUCUACGCGAGUCAUUGGGCGUUGAAAACCCAAAGGCGUAAUGAAAGUGAAGGUAUCCUUGAUGAUACUGAUUUGCGAUCCGCGGAGCUGCGGCUCCGCCGGAGCAGCAAAGCCCCGUUCUUGUCGCUUGCGAUGGGGCGGAGGCAGAGCGUAUGCGUUGAGACCCGAAAGAUGGUGAACUAUGCUUGAGCAGGACGAAGUCAGAGGAAACUCUGAUGGAAGUCCGAAUCGGUUCUGACGUG
rnacentral:rRNA from 1 species